rnacentral:rRNA from 1 species
GACGAACGCUGGCGGCGUGCCUAAUACAUGCAAGUCGAACGCUGAAGGAGGAGCUUGCUUCUCUGGAUGAGUUGCGAACGGGUGAGUAACGCGUAGGUAACCUGCCUGGUAGCGGGGGAUAACUAUUGGAAACGAUAGCUAAUACCGCAUAAGAGUAGAUGUUGCAUGACAUUUGCUUAAAAGGUGCAAUUGCAUCACUACCAGAUGGACCUGCGUUGUAUUAGCUAGUUGGUGGGGUAACGGCUCACCAAGGCAACGAUACGUAGCCGACCUGAGAGGGGGAGGGGGAAGAGUGGAAAUGAGACACGGUAGGAACUCAUCCGGGAGGAAGCAGUCGGGAUUAGUGAGGAAUGGGGGAAAGCAGGACGGAGAAAGGCAGGGGGAGUGAGGAAGGUCUGCGGAGCGUAAAACGCUGUGAGUAGGGAAGAACAAAGGUGUGAGGAAAAAUGCACGGCUUGAAGGUAACUAAUCAGAAAGCGACGGCUAACGACGUG